rnacentral:misc_RNA from 1 species
GAAGGAACCUAUUAAGUUAUCUGAAGAAAACAUUCUUCGAGCCAAAAGCUGGCAAAUGCGAAUGUUAACUGAACCUGUUGCUGAGUGUGCCAGCUUAAGCAGUGAAAUGAAUGUGAAGAUUUCAAGAAAAGUAACCUCCAGUGCGUCAUUUGAGAAUAAAAGAAAACUGGAUGGAAUCACCAAAUCUGCAGAAGAGGAAUUCAGUUACGAGGCUAAGAAACGGGCACUUAAAGUGUUGGGAUCCUCUCUGGAUUUGAAUCUCCCUGUGGAGGAGACUGAAGACAACACCAAUUCUGGUAGUUGUGACAGUGAUUCCAUCUCUGAAAACUCAACUUG